rnacentral:rRNA from 1 species
GUAGUCCACGCCGUAAACGAUGGAUACUAGCUGUUUGAGAGCAAUCUUGAGUGGCUAAGCGAAAGUGAUAAGUAUCCCACCUGGGGAGUACGAACGCAAGUUUGAAACUCAAAGGAAUUGACGGGGGCCCGCACAAGCGGUGGAGCAUGUGGUUUAAUUCGAUGAUACGCGAGGAACCUUACCAGGGCUUAAAUGUAGUGGGACAGGUCUGGAAACAGGCCCUUCUUCGGACUCAUUACAAGGUGCUGCAUGGUUGUCGUCAGCUCGUGCCGUGAGGUGUCAGGUUAAGUCCUAUAACGAGCGCAACCCCUGUUGUUAGUUGCCAGCGAGUCAAGUCGGGAACUCUAACAAGACUGCCGGUGCAAACCGUGA